UACAGAGGGUGCAAGCGUUGUUCGGAAUUAUUGGGCGUAAAGCGCGUGUAGGCGGCAGUGCAAGUCGGGUGUGAAAGCCCUCAGCUCAACUGAGGAAGUGCGCCCGAAACUGCAUUGCUUGAGUACCGGAGAGGAUGGCGGAAUUCCCGAAGUAGAGGUGAAAUUCGUAGAUAUCUGGAGGAACACCGGUGGCGAAGGCGGCAUCCUGGACCGGCAUUGACGCUGAGGCGCGAAAGCCAGGGGAGCAAUCGGG
rnacentral:rRNA from 1 species